rnacentral:rRNA from 1 species
GAUGAACGCUGGCGGCGUGCUUAACACAUGCAAGUCGAACGGAAAGGCCCAAGCUUGCUUGGGUACUCGAGUGGCGAACGGGUGAGUAACACGUGGGUGAUCUGCCCUGCACUUCGGGAUAAGCCUGGGAAACUGGGUCUAAUACCGGAUAGGACCACAUUUUGGAUGGUGUGGUGGAAAGUUUUUCGGUGUGGGAUGAGCUCGUGGCCUAUCAGCUUGUUGGUGGGGUAAUGGGCUACCACGGCGUCGACGGGUAGCCGGCCUGAGAGGGUAGACGGCCACAAUGGGACUUAGAUACGGCCCAGACUCCGACGGGAGGCAGCAGUGGGGAAUAUUGCACAAUGGGCGCAAGCCUGAUGCAGCGACGCCGCGUGGGGGAUGACGGCCUUCGGGUUGUAAACUCCUUUCGCUAGGGACGAAGCGUUAUGUGACGGUACCUGGAGAAGAAGCACCGGCUAACUACGUG